AAGUCGUAACAAGGUUUCCGUAGGUGAACCUGCGGAAGGAUCAUCAAUAGUUCCAAGAUACACACUUGUGUGUAUCUACCAUACCUUCUUGAGAAUUGUAAUAGAUGUCAAGGACAACUGUGGAAGUUGUGUUGUGGGCUAAAUGGUGGUAGAGAUGUGCUAGUUUUCUAGUAGUUUAUGCCACCAUCCACACACGCAACCACUUGUCGUUAUUCUGUUAUCACAAACACUUAUAAACUAUAAAAGUCUAAUAAAAGUUGUAUGGGAAGAUGUAUGAAUUUAUUCAUAUGUUGACUCAUAUUAUAACACAAUAAUAUAAUACAACUUGCAGCGAUGGAUCUCUAGGCUCUG
rnacentral:misc_RNA from 1 species